CAACCUUCCGCUUACUCGGGGAUAGCCUUUCGAAAGAAAGAUUAAUACCCGAUNNNAUCUUAAGCACGCAUGAGAUUAAGAUUAAAGAUUUAUCGGUAAGCGAUGGGGAUGCGUUCCAUUAGGCAGUUGGCGGGGUAACGGCCCACCAAACCUACGAUGGAUAGGGGUUCUGAGAGGAAGGUCCCCCACAUUGGAACUGAGACACGGUCCAAACUCCUACGGGAGGCAGCAGUGAGGAAUAUUGGUCAAUGGGCGAGAGCCUGAACCAGCCAAGUAGCGUGAAGGAUGACGGCCCUACGGGUUGUAAACUUCUUUUAUAAAGGAAUAAAGUCGGGUAUGGAUACCCGUUUGCAUGUACUUUAUGAAUAAGGAUCGGCUAACUCCGUGCCAGCAGCCGCGGUAAUACGGAGGAUCCGAGCGUUAUCCGGAUUUAUUGGGUUUAAAGGGAGCGUAGAUGGAUGUUUAAGUCAGUUGUGAAAGUUUGCGGCUCAACCGUAAAAUUGCAGUUGAUACUGGAUAUCUUGGGUGCAGUUGAGGCAGGCGGAAUUCGUGGUGUAGCGGUGAAAUGCUUAGAUAUCACGAAGAACUCCGAUUG
rnacentral:rRNA from 1 species